GGGAAGUACGACCGCAAGGUUGAAACUCAAAGGAAUUGACGGGGGCCCGCACAAGCGGAGGAGCAUGUGGUUUAAUUCGAUGAUACGCGAGGAACCUUACCCGGGCUUGAAAGUUAUGGAAUGAUGUGGAAACAUGUCAGUCAGCAAUGACCAGAAACUAGGUGCUGCAUGGCUGUCGUCAGCUCGUGCCGUGAGGUGUUAGGUUAAGUCCUGCAACGAGCGCAACCCCUAUCAUUAGAUGCCAUCAGGUAAUGCUGGGGACUCUAAUGAGACUGCCCGCGCAAGCGGUGAGGAAGGUGGGGAUGACGUUACGGUCUUACU
rnacentral:misc_RNA from 1 species